ensembl:lncRNA
AUUCCCAGCACUGGGAUGCACAGCAGCGAUCUGUCUCAUCGCAUGCAGGGGUUCCCGCUGGUUUUGCUCCCAGAAACACCGCCUGAGGAGCUGAACAAGCGGCUGACGGCCCACGUCUCCUCGGUCUUGCAGCGCCUGCACGGCCUCCUGAGCCCCGUGCUGGCAGGGCAGCCGCACGCCGCCACCUCCUUCUCCUGCCAGCGCCCGGGCGGCGGGCUCAGCCUGCGCGUGAGGAGCGAGCUCUCGGGGCUGCCCUUCUACUGGGACUUCCGCUGCCGCCCCGCUCCCGUGGCGACGGUUGAGGCGGACCCCCCNNNNNNNNNNNNNNNNNNNNNNNNNNNNNNNNNNNNNNNNNNNNNNNNNNNNNNNNNNNNNNNNNNNNNNNNNNNNNNNNNNNNNNNNNNNNNNNNNNNNCAAAAUCCAGCCAACAGCCCCACACAAGGGGGGGGAAGAGCACAGCCUGUGCACUCUGAGUGCACAGGCUGUGCUCUUUCCCCCCCUAAACCUCUAAGCCAAGCAACCACACAACCAACUCCCUUGCUAAUAAACUGAAUAAAUCAACAAUAUACAGAUCAUAAUUAAAAAAUACACAGGAAACUUAGGCUAGACAAGUUACCACACCAAAGAAGAACAGUUAGAAUGCUUACCCUUGUUCCAGGCUCACUGAGAAGACUCCAAGAGAUCUUUCCCUACCGGUAGUCAGCUCUUAAAUGGGAUCUCACAGAGGUGCAGCUAGGCUCCACCCCUUCCAGUAGCACAGGUGGAUUACCUUCAUCUGUGCUCCACAGCUGACUCAGCAGCCAAUCAGAGGUUCAGAACAAGGUUCAACAGCUCCCACACACUAACCAACCUCUACACCCACUAAAGGGAUCCCAACAGGGGCUCCCAGGUCAAAGGACUACACAACAGACACCCACCAAGGAGACUGACCACCUACCCAACACACCACCACAAACAGUGCCUACCUGGGGGCUCUCCUCUACUUCUUCCAUGAGUGCAGCACACCUGCCAGCCAAGGAUGCAGACUUCCCUCUCAGGAUGCCAGCUGCACCACAACCCCAAGUAAGAACUCACCUUGGCUAAGCUGGACCUCACCAAGCUCCCCCCAGGAACAGUUGCCAGAGUCCUGCAGGCUGCACUUCUCCCCUCACACUCUGUCAAUCCCAUUCUUCCAGGAGCAGACCUGCCACACACCUUGAGGGCUCAAAUAAAGAAGAAACAAACACACACCAUAACCCUCAAACAAAAACAACUUGUGUUCUCUGGCACCCGAUCCCAGGUGAAAACUCCAGCCCGGGGGCAGCACGCACAGCUCAGGCACCAAAGGACACCGCUUACCUCACCGGCACGAUCCCCGCUCCGGCCCUGGACCUGCGGAAGAGCUCCGUGAAUCGCUUCUCAGAGGGCGCGGGGGGAGGGCAGCCCUCGGGUCUCUCACCUCCUUCGUCUCACCGCCGAUGAAACCGCUCCCACGCUCAGGCGGAUCCUCGCUGCUAAACGCUCCGUUGCGGCGCUCGCCCUGCGACGACGUCGUCCGAUCCCGCUCCCUCGCUAAAGCCGCUUCCCUGUCGCGCGUCACCCGGGAAAGCAUCCGGACACAACUCGCAGACCCCUGGAGAAGGUGACUCCGCAGCCUAUUCUGUCACUCUCGCGGCACAAGCAUCCUUACUUCUGACGUUCCGAUCUGUGAAUGUUUCCACCUCGCGCCUCCCGUCGGUGCCUGAAUGAGCCCGUCGUCACCGUCAGCAAGACCCCUGCACUUCAGAUCAUUACUGACAGUAUGAUAUUUCCCCCCAUAUCUUCCACAGCCCUUCUCUCGUCCCAACACAGAAGGCUACCUCCUUGGUCCAGCAUCAUUUCCCCUCACCGAAUCCACCACGACUACUUAGAAAUUUUUGCUCAUUAGGUCACUUGCAGCUGUCACCUCGACUUGCAGCUGUCCCAUCACCUUGUUGUGGAGGGAGGUGAGGCUCAGUACAUUCCAGUUCUCUCACCGGAAGAGAAACUCCACCACCUCACCUGUCUGUCUCUCCUAUAAGGAACGCAGCCAUCCACAACAGCAUUCCAGCUGUGCGAGCUGUGCCACCACGUCUCCACGACGGGAACGAAAUCAGGCUCCUGAAAUUACAAAUAAGGGGGAGGGGGAAAGAUAUCGUCUCAGCCGGCUCGUUCCCACCGCUGGAAGCAGAAGGGGCUGAAAAGCAAAAGGGGCUGAAGCACCCGCGAAACCCUUCUCGGGCGGUUCGGCGGCGGCGCCGUGCUGAUCCCAAAGAAGCGUCCGAGCGGCAGCCGCACACGAGCCCCAAGAAGAGAGAACUUACCUAGUGACUCCCAAACACUCACCGCUUCCACCAUCUCACCGGGUCGGGAUGACGAGAGGCUCCGCUGCAGCCUUCGCUCAGCCUGCAAUAGGAUAAAACUUGUUUCAGCAGCCCUUUGCGCCGCUUCUCAUUCCCAGCGGCACAGAGGCGAAAUACGGCCCCGUCCCGCUCGCUCCUACCGAUGAGACCGGGAGAAACUGAAGCCCCCGCUAAAAAGCCCCGGAGGAACCGAGAGCCCUCAGGACCGCGUUAGCGCUCGGGGAACCGAGCGGCAGCUCCCUCCGAAAACGCGACGGCAGCCGGGCGGCGAUGUUACACCGCUCCGAGAAGCCGGGACGGCCCGGCGAGAGCUCCGCGUCGGCCACCGAACGGAGAGCGGCGAAAGCCCGGCGGCCUCCUGCCGCAGAGGGCGGACGGACCCGAGUGCUGGCCGCCUCCGCGGUCCCGUCGCCACCAGAAGAACUCACCGGUUCGGGCUGAUCUUUGCCGGGAGACGUCUCGCCGCAAUCUGAAACAAAACAACACAACAAACAGAGAACGUUACAAAGAAUCCCGAGGUCUCGUUUUAAGAGCAGCCCCUCGCGGUGCCUCGCAGCCCCGGCGGCGCAAGGACCGGACAAAAGAAACGGAGCCCGCUCCGGCUCCCCCACGCAAUGAACUCCGGCAGCUCUCUCGUAGCUCCCGGCGGCCUCCGGCGGAGCUUAAGAGGCUUUGGGGCGGAGCCGCCCCGCUCUGCGGACGAGGUGCAGCUGUGCCCGGGCGGCCGCGGCCCCUCGGCAGCUGGGAGUCGUUGCCUCGUUAGCGGCGGGGGGCUCGUUAGGGCUGGCCGGGGACUCUGACAGUUAGUCACGUGGGCUCUAGAACUGAAUUAAGGACUUAACCUGCACUUUCAAUUACAGUUUGUUACGGGCUUCUCCUCGCCUCAUGGCGGGAUUCACUAAUAAGUUUAACAAUUGUGCCUAAUUCAAACGGAUCUCAUUGCAUCUCACACGACACCCUUUCGAAGAACAUCUCCAGCCUUAACAGUUUCCAGAGUCCCCUGCUGUGUGCUGUCUCUGUUCUGCUUUCCCUCUCCCCUCGUCCAAAAAAAAGGAGAAAAAAAAGGAAAAAAAGUUUGUUAAACGUGAAAAAACUUUGUACCUGACAGAGAAAAUGUGACAAGGCAGCAGUGGAAAUGUGGGAGCGGCGACGUGACAAACGCCUGAACGGGUGAACGAUGCUGACCAGUGAAAUUGGAAGCGGAGCUUCACAAACGGUUCUGUACGGCACAACUCCUCGGCUUAUAAAGGAAUUAUUUACACGUGUCCCUUGCUUUGAGAACCUGCUGUCUGUGAAUGGGCACGUCUGCUCAAAGGAAAGAAGUACCAAGUAUAGAAUCUGACCGAGAGGCCCGAAGAAGUUGCCGGUGAGUUCCUCUCAAACCUCUUUGUGCCUACAAAUCACCGGGUGAUUUAAAGCUGCCGAAAGCUGUGGUGAAUAAAACGGAAAAGGGCAAGCUAUCGAGAAGGUACAGAGGUGGCCCCGAGGGCCUUCACGUGCUAAUGCGGGAUGAAAAAGGCCAGAGAUGUGAUCUUAGGGCAUCCUCCUUCAGCUUGUGCAGAUAGCCCCAUACUGAGGAGAACCGGGGAGGUCUGGGAUGGGUUCCCACUGGAUGAUGAGACAGCUACUUUAUCCCGAACCAGAGCUACGAAGCAAUCCUUACGUUUUGUCUUUGGCUGUCAGCGGUCGGACGAUGCAGUGACAACGUGCAGAAGGGCUCUGGACUCAUCUUGCACUGUGCUACAGCGUCAGAUCAUUGUUUUUCUUUCUGUACACACGCUCUAAUUGUAUGAUACUGGCAAAGGAGAGUUGGAACUGUGGAUGUGUUCACUCGCUGCUUAAUGAUGCUUGCAUAAUCGGUGACAUACGGGAUCUCAAUGAAGAAUACGUGCAGCGUGCUGUUUGUCUAAUGAGAAAUUUAAAGUGCAUCUUUUCGGGGUUCAUCGUGUGGUUGCUAAGAAGGCUGGAAUUAGUGAAAUUCCUAUGUGAUUGAGAGAAGGGCUUUCUGUCACUUUGUAUUCAUAAAAAUAAAAUUUGAUUAAAAAGCUCACGUCUCUUUUCAUGGAGGUACGAGAGU